rnacentral:rRNA from 1 species
CACGAACGCUGGCGGCAGGCUUAACACAUGCAAGUCGAGCGCCCCGCAAGGGGAGCGGCAGACGGGUGAGUAACGCGUGGGAAUCUACCCAUCUCUACGGAAUAACGCAUGGAAACGUGUGCUAAUACCGUAUACGUCCUUCGGGAGAGAGAUUUAUCGGAGAUGGAUGAGCCCGCGUUGGAUUAGCUAGUUGGUGGGGUAAAGGCCUACCAAGGCGACGAUCCAUAGCUGGUCUGAGAGGAUGAUCAGCCACACUGGGACUGAGACACGGCCCAGACUCCUACGGGAGGCAGCAGUGGGGAAUAUUGGACAAUGGGCGCAAGCCUGAUCCAGCCAUGCCGCGUGAGUGAUGAAGGCCCUAGGAUUGUAAAGCUCUUUCACCGGUGAAGAUAAUGACGGUAGCCGGAGAAGAAGCCCCGGCUAACUUCGUGCCAGCCGCCGCAGUAAAAC